rnacentral:rRNA from 1 species
CUACGGGGGGCAGCAGUGGGGAAUCUUAGACAAUGGGGGAAACCCUGAUCUAGCCAUGCCGCGUGAGUGACGAAGGCCUUAGGGUCGUAAAGCUCUUUCGCUGGGGAAGAUAAUGACUGUACCCAGUAAAGAAACCCCGGCUAACUCCGUGCCAGCAGCCGCGGUAAUACGGAGGGGGUUAGCGUUGUUCGGAAUUACUGGGCGUAAAGCGCGCGUAGGCGGACUGGAAAGUUGGGGGUGAAAUCCCGGGGCUCAACCCCGGAACGGCCUCCAAAACUAUCAGUCUAGAGUUCGAGAGAGGUGAGUGGAAUUCCGAGUGUAGAGGUGAAAUUCGUAGAUAUUCGGAGGAACACCAGUGGCGAAGGCGGCUCACUGGCUCGAUACUGACGCUGAGGUGCGAAAGCGUGAGGAGCAAACAGGAUUAGAUACCCCAGUAGUC